GAUGAACGCUGGCGGCGUGCCUAAUACAUGCAAGUCGAGCGAACAGACGAGGAGCUUGCUCCUCUGACGUUAGCGGCGGACGGGUGAGUAACACGUGGAUAACCUACCUAUAAGACUGGGAUAACUUCGGGAAACCGGAGCUAAUACCGGAUAAUAUAUUGAACCGCAUGGUUCAAUAGUGAAAGACGGUUUUGCUGUCACUUAUAGAUGGAUCCGCGCCGCAUUAGCUAGUUGGUAAGGUAACGGCUUACCAAGGCAACGAUGCGUAGCCGACCUGAGAGGGGAUCCGCCCCCAAGGAACCUGAGCCACGGCCCAGCCCCCUAGGGGAGCCAGGAGUGGGGAAUCUCCCGCAAUGGGGGAAAGCUUGCCGGGGAAACGCGGGGGGAGUGAAGAAGGUUUUGGGACCGAAAACCUCUUUUAUUAGGGAAAAAAAAAUGGUAAAGUAACUAUGCCCGUUUUGCAGGUCCCUAUACAAAAAGCCCCGCUUAACUACGU
rnacentral:rRNA from 1 species